GAUGAACGCUAGCGGCGUGCCUAAUACAUGCAAGUCGAGCGAACAGACGAGGAGCUUGCUCCUCUGAUGUUAGCGGCGGACGGGUGAGUAACACGUGGAUAACCUACCUAUAAGACUGGGAUAACUUCGGGAAACCGGAGCUAAUACCGGAUAACAUGUUGAACCGCAUGGUUCAACAGUGAAAGACGGUUUUGCUGUCACUUAUAGAUGGAUCCGCGCCGCAUUAGCUAGUUGGUAAGGUAACGGCUUACCAAGGCAACGAUGCGUAGCCGACCUGAGAGGGUGAUCGGCCACACUGGAACUGAGACACGGUCCAGACUCCUACGGGAGGCAGCAGUAGGGAAUCUUCCGCAAUGGGCGAAAGCCUGACGGAGCAACGCCGCGUGAGUGAAGAAGGUCUUCGGAUCGUAAAACUCUGUUAUUAGGGAAGAACAAAUGUGUAAGUAACUAUGCACGUCUUGACGGUACCUAAUCAGAAAGCCACGGCUAACUACGUG
rnacentral:rRNA from 1 species